rnacentral:rRNA from 1 species
AUUGAACGCUGGCGGCAGGCCUAACACAUGCAAGUCGAACGGUAACAGGAAACAGCUUGCUGUUUCGCUGACGAGUGGCGGACGGGUGAGUAAUGUCUGGGAAACUGCCUGAUGGAGGGGGAUAACUACUGGAAACGGUAGCUAAUACCGCAUAACGUCGCAAGACCAAAGAGGGGGACCCUCGGGCCUCUUGCCAUCGGAUGUGCCCAGAUGGGAUUAGCUUGUUGGUGGGGUAACGGCUCACCAAGGCGACGAUCCCUAGCCGGUCUGAGAGGAUGACCAGCCACACUGGAACUGAGACACGGUCCAGACUCCUACGGGAGGCAGCAGUGGGGAAUAUUGCACAAUGGGCGCAAGCCUGAUGCAGCCAUGCCGCGUGUAUGAAGAAGGCCUUCGGGUUGUAAAGUACUUUCAGCGGGGAGGAAGGGAGUAAAGUUAAUACCUUGGCUCAUUGACGUUACCCGCAGAAGAAGCACCGGCUAACUCCGUG